AGAGUUGAUCCUGGCUACAGAACGAACGCUGGUGGCGUGUUUUAUACAUGCAAGUCGAGCGAGGACAGUAGCUUGCUACGUGAGCCGAGCGGCGAACGGGUGAGUAACGCGUAAGCAAUCUGCCCCACAAUCGGGAACAACCGUGCCAACGCGCGGCUAAUGCCGGAUAUUGUGUCCUACUGCAUAGUAGGUUAACGAAAGAUUUAUCGUUGUGGGAUGAGCUUGCGUCCGAUUAGCUAGUUGGCGGGGUAAUAGCCCACCAAGGCGACGAUCGGUAGCCGGCCUGAGAGGGUGAUCGGCCACAUUGGGACUGAGAUACGGCCCAGACUCCUACGGGAGGCAGCAGUAGGGAAUAUUGCGCAAUGGGGGGAACCCUGACGCAGCCAACGCCACGUGUGGGAAGAAGCAUUUCGGUGUGCAAACCACUGUCGGAAAGGAAUAACGGAAGACUUCGGUCUUUAUGAAUGUACUUUUAGAGGAAGCACCGGCAAACUUCGUGCCAGCCGCCGC
rnacentral:rRNA from 1 species